CGGGGUGCACCAGGCGCGAAAACUUUACAAUGCUGGCAACAGCGAUAAGGGGACCUCGAGUGCCAGGAUACAAUCUUGGCUGUCGCGAUGCCUAAAAAGCAUUGCAUAGCAAGGGCCGGGCAAGACCGGUGCCAGCCGCCGCGGUAACACCGGCGGCUCGAGUGGUAACCGCUAUUAUUGGGUCUAAAGGGUCUGUAGCCGGCCGGAUAAGUCUUUUGGGAAAUCCAGCUGCUUAACAGUUGGGCUUUCAGAAGAUACUGUUCGGCUCGAGACCGGGAGAGGUGAGAGGUACUUCAGGGGUAGGGGUGAAAUCUUGUAAUCCUUGAAGGACCACCAGCGGCGAAGGCGUCUCACCAGAACGGAUCUGACGGCAAGGGACGAAAGCUAGGGGCACGAACCGGAUUAGAUACCCGGGUAGUCCUAGCCGUAAACGAUACUCGCUAGGUGUCAGCCACGGUGCGACCGUGGUUGGUGCCGUAGGGAAGCCGUGAAGCGAGCCACCUGGGAAGUACGGCCGCAAGGCUGAAACUUAAAGGAAUUGGCGGGG
rnacentral:rRNA from 1 species